rnacentral:rRNA from 1 species
CCUACGGGUGGCAGCAGUAGGGAAUAUUGCUCAAUGGGGGAAACCCUGAAGCAGCAAAGCCGCGUGGAGGAUGAAGGUUUUCGGAUUGUAAACUCCUUUUGUUAGAGAAGAUACUGACGGUAUCUAAAGAAUAAGCACCGGCGAACUCAGUGCCAGCAGCCGCGGUAAUAUGGAGGGUGCAAGCGUUACUCGGAAUCACUGGGCGUGAAGAGCGCGUAGGCGGGAUAGCAAGUGAGAUGUGAAAUCCUAUGGCUUAACCAUAGAAUUGCAUUUGAAACUGUUAUUCUAGAGUAUGGGAGAGGUAGGUGGAAUUCUUGGGGUAGGGGUAAAAUCCGUAGAGAUCAAGAGGAAUACUCAUUGCGAAGGCGACCUGCUAGAACAUAACUGACGCUGAUGCGCGAAAGCGUGGGGAGCAAACAGGAUUAGAUACCCUUGUAGUC